rnacentral:rRNA from 1 species
AUGAACGCUGGCGGCGUGCCUAAUACAUGCAAGUCGAGCGAACAGACGAGGAGCUUGCUCCUCUGACGUUAGCGGCGGACGGGUGAGUAACACGUGGAUAACCUACCUAUAAGACUGGGAUAACUUCGGGAAACCGGAGCUAAUACCGGAUAAUAUAUUGAACCGCAUGGUUCAAUAGUGAAAUACGGUUUUGCUGUCACUUAUAGAUGGAUCCGCGCCGCAUUAGCUAGUUGGUAAGGUAACGGCUUACAAAGGCAACGAUGCGUAGCCGACCUGAGAGGGUGAUCGGCCACACUGGAACUGAGACACGGUCCAGACUCCUACGGGAGGCAGCAGUAGGGAAUCUUCCGCAAUGGGCGAAAGCCUGACGGAGCAACGCCGCGUGAGUGAUGAAGGUCUUCGGAUCGUAAAACUCUGUUAUUAGGGAAGAACAAAUGUGUAAGUAACUAGGCACGUCUUGACGGUACCUAAUCAGAAAGCCACGGCUAACUACGUG